rnacentral:piRNA from 1 species
UGCAUACCUGACUUCAUGAUUUGUCCUCAAU